ACUAGAAGCUAGGUUAACUAAACCGAGGACUUGUGGCGUCCUAAAUUUACUUUAGUAAGUUCUAGUACAUA
rnacentral:tRNA from 1 species